rnacentral:rRNA from 1 species
UAGGGAAUCUUCGGCAAUGGGGGCAACCCUGACCGAGCAACGCCGCGUGAGUGAAGAAGGUUUUCGGAUCGUAAAGCUCUGUUGUAAGUCAAGAACGGGUGUGAGAGUGGAAAGUUCACACUGUGACGGUAGCUUACCAGAAAGGGACGGCUAACUACGUGCCAGCAGCCGCGGUAAUACGUAGGUCCCGAGCGUUGUCCGGAUUUAUUGGGCGUAAAGCGAGCGCAGGCGGUUUGAUAAGUCUGAAGUUAAAGGCUGUGGCUCAACCAUAGUUCGCUUUGGAAACUGUCAAACUUGAGUGCAGAAGGGGAGAGUGGAAUUCCAUGUGUAGCGGUGAAAUGCGUAGAUAUAUGGAGGAACACCGGUGGCGAAAGCGGCUCUCUGGUCUGUAACUGACGCUGAGGCUCGAAAGCGUGGGGGAGCGAACAGGAUUAGGAUACC